rnacentral:tRNA from 1 species
AUUGUUGAUGUGAUUAACAGGACUCAUAAUCCUUUGGUCGUAGGUUCAAGUCCUACUGGGCCCACCA